rnacentral:rRNA from 1 species
GAUGAACGCUGGCGGCGUGCCUAAUACAUGCAAGUCGAGCGAACGGACGAGAAGCUUGCUUUUCUGAUGUUAGCGGCGGACGGGUGAGUAACACGUGGAUAACCUACCUAUAAGACUGGGAUAACUUCGGGAAACCGGAGCUAAUACCGGAUAAUAUUUUGAACCGCAUGGUUCAAAAGUGAAAGACGGUCUUGCUGUCACUUAUAGAUGGAUCCGCGCUGCAUUAGCUAGUUGGUAAGGUAACGGCUUACCAAGGCAACGAUGCAUAGCCGACCUGAGAGGGUGAUCGGCCACACUGGAACUGAGACACGGUCCAGACUCCUACGGGAGGCGGCAGUAGGGAAUCUUCCGCAAUGGGCGAAAGCCUGACGGAGCAACGCCGCGUGAGUGAUGAAGGUCUUCGGAUCGUAAAACUCUGUUAUUAGGGAAGAACAUAUGUGUAAGUAACUGUGCACAUCUUGACGGUACCUAAUCAGAAAGCCACGGCUAACUACGU